AAUUACGCAACGACAACAUCACGUGUUGAGAGCCCAGCAACGCGAUAACGGUUAAUGCAGUAAUGGCUCCGAGCGUUGGGUAUUGGGGUCGCCCAACGUCAACUUUAGACUGGUGUGAAGAAAACUACGUAGUUUCUUAUUAUAUCGCCGAGUUUUGGAAUACCAUCAGCAAUCUCGUGAUGAUCAUUCCGCCGUUGGUUGGGGCUAGUCUUGCCUACUGGCAGGACCUUGAGUUCCGUAUCGUCAACUCAUACCUUGGCUUUAUGGCUGUUGGAAUUGGGUCAUGGAUCUUCCAUAUGACCUUGUUGUAUGAAGGUCAGCUGUUGGAUGAGCUGCCCAUGAUCUGGGGUUCCUCCUUCCUCGUGUAUUCUUAUGCCACGUUAUCGAGUCCACCUAACAGGGUGUACAAGCCACUAAUGUUAGGCCUCUUUAUUUACUGCAGCAUCGUCACAGUGGGAUACUUAAUAAAUCAGAAUCCAAUAUUUCAUCAGGUUGCAUAUGCUCUUAUGGUGUUUGCUAUUCUUGUAUAUGGAGUGAAAACGAUAUUAACCUGUCAACACAAUUUACCUAUGUAUAUAAUUUCUGGAUUGACCUAUUUCUUCGGUUUCUUCCUGUGGAACAUAGAUAACAAAUUCUGUGGAUAUCUCACGCAUUUACGUCAUGAUGUGCUUGGUCCCUUGGGUCCCAUCACAGAGCUGCAUGCUUGGUGGCAUGUCUUAGCUGGUUCUGGAACCUACUUAUCCUUGUUAUUUCUAACACACACUAGAUACUUGUUUUUGAGGAGAAAUCCAAAAAUAAAGUUCUUUUGGCGUGUCUACCCAUACGUGACGAUCACAACUCGUGCUACUGGAAGAUUCUGCCCCACACCUUCAUCCUAGUCUUCUGAUGUCAGCUUUUAAUUAAAAAUUAAUAAUAAUUAAAUGUUUUUUAAAGAAACUUGCCUCUUACGUAAUUUACGUAAAACAUUCCAUGGAAAGGUACAUUAUAGCACAUGUGUAAAACAAACGCUGUCCUUUAGGAAAUGUGAUUUAGGAAAUAAAAUGUAAUGUUCUAAUUCACUGUAAAAGUGAUUUCUGAGAAAAGGAAGAAGUAGAAGAGGUGAAUGCUCAAAAAGCUGCUUGAUCUUUUUAAACAAUGCAAGAGGAGUGAAAGUCAUGUAUUGAGAUAGAAUUUCAUCAGGAAUAAUUCAUGUUCUCUCUGAUGCAAAACAGCUUUUCUGCCUGUAUAACGUGCAUGUGUGUAUAAUGAUAUGUAUUCUGUCGCAAGCUCCAGCCUCUUACAUUAAACUUCCACAAUUCUCCAUAUGGUCGUCUGUCAGACAUUUGACAGUUCCAGCCUCUUACAUUAAACUUCCACAAUUCUCCAUAUGGUCGUCUGUCAGACAUUUGACAGUUUUUCUUACAAUAAAAUACUGGGAGGAGGGGGGACUUCUUUUAUUAUCAGGUUCAAUAUAAGGGUUUACUUUAACAGGCAUAUGUAUCCAGUUCAGGGUCAUACUUAACAGAGAGGAUGGUGGGUGGGGGAGGGGUGCAGUUGUCAGUCAUCAAACAAUUGUAGAAGUUCACUUUUAGUUUUAACUGGAGAGGAUCCUACAUACCUGUGUACUGAUUUUUUAAAUUAUUAUUAUUAUUAUUAUUUUUAUUAUUUUAUUUUUUUAAACUGCACCCUGAGCCUCUUCUCCCACCCCUCCACUAAUUAGUUGAGAAUAGGUGCAGCCUUGUAAUUUUGGUUCACACUGUUUUGCCUCUUGGCAUUUUGAAUUCCAUUUACAUAAUUGUUGUAGUUUUUAUUUUGUGCAAAAUGUUUGGUUGUUGGAUAUUAAAUAUUAAUAUAUCUAUGUAUUGUACAUAACUACGCAUUGUGAUGUGUGUUGAAUAAUGUUAUUAAUUAUUGGAACUGUUUAUUUUUAUGUAAUGUCUGCACUUUUUGUAUCUUCAAUACAGAAGUAUGCCAUGAAGUAUGUUACUUUAAAAAAACACACAAAAAAUCCCUGGUGGUGCUAAGAAUUUAUUAAAAUAUUUGUAGUCACGAAA